GGAGUGGUUGGAUGAGGGAAGUAAUUUUGUGAGCUGGAAUUGAGGGUGACAGAAUGGGGGAGUAAUUUUUGGAGGUGCAUGGGCUGGACUUGGUGUUGAUGGCAUGGGGGAGGCAUUUUUGGGGCUGGAUUUGGCGUUGCGGAGUGGGAGGAAGCAUUUUGGGGGUCUCUGGGUGGGUGUGGAGUGGGGUUGGGAUGAGGGGAGUCACUCUGGGGAGUCCAAGGGAUGGACUUGGGCAUGGUGGGGUGAGCAUCCCCAACCUGGCAUCCCUAUCUUAAGGGGUCCCCAAUUUUUGGGGCUCCAAAUCCCCAGUGUGCCCUUGUCCGUCCAAGGCUCCCAUUUUUUGGGGUGCCCACCCUAGGGGUCCCAAUUUUUUGGAUUCUCCUGCCCAUCCAGGGGUUACCAACUUGUGGGGUCCCACCUCCCUGGGAAACCCCUGCCCAUCCAGGGGUCCUAAGUUUUUGGGUUCUCCUGCACACCCAGGGGGUCUCCACCCAGUAAGUGCCCAUGUCAGCCCCUCGCAGCCCCCACCUCUGCCGGUGCCAGGGGGACAGGUGCCCCGUCACCCCCGUGCCUCUGGCACAGGCGGGACCGGAGGUGUUUCCAUAGCGCCCUGGCCGCGUUUCCCCUGCACCCCCCAGCGCACCUUGGGGACCCCCUGAUCUCCUCUUUGUCACGCACUCAGUGCAGGGGGUGCAGUGGCACCGCAGGACCCCAUUUCUGUGACAUCCCCGAGGUGGCACUUGCCGUUUUUGUCACCACCACCCGCCAAUUUUUCACCAGCGACCCAAAGCGGGGUGUGGCCCACAUCCCACAAGGGGGAGUGACAGCAUUUUUGGGGUCCUCCUCGCCACUUCCACGCUCCCGCAUCACCCCGACGAUGCUGCGAGAUCUCACAUCCCCCGCGCUUUCCCGGCCGCAGCAUCCCCCGAGGGGACUUUUGGGACUGUCCCCGCGUCUCCGCCCGCCGCAGUGCCUCCGCUGCUGCGCCCGCGCUCGGCCCUGGUUCCUGUCACGGCUUCCCCAUGUGACCGGGCAGGAGACUCAGUCACGCCCUCACCUCCUCCUUCUCCUCCGCCUCUGCCGCAGGAGGUGAUUCUGCUGCUCCCGCUGGGGAAAAGCUGGGGGCACCGCGGGUCACCUCUUGAAGAGAUUGUGGGGUUGCGGUGGCUCCUGGAGUCCCUCCGAAAUGACAGCUGGAGCUGCCGGGAUGCUGCAGUUUCAGGGGUUUCAAAGAGAUGUAGAGAAAUGAAAAGAAAAUCAAGGCCAAAACAAAAGGAUGUACAUGUCUGUGCUGGCUGAGCAUCCAUGCACUUUAGGUGAAUGGGAAGAACCUUUUUUGGAAGAGUUUCCACCCCACUGUCUCCAAAAUCGUGUGUUUUGCCCCAGUCCUUCCCCAUUUGGCUGUGGAGGAUGGCUGUGGGCCAGAGAGAAUUAAAACGAUGGAUUUAUGUUGGAGAAGACCUCCAAGGCCAUGCAGUGUUGCUUGAUGCCAUCAGAAGGUGCAAAAGGUGAGAUUUUUCUGGGGUCAGAAGUCAACAAAUCAGCUCUCCACAAUAGAUUUCUGAUGUUGGUCUGUGGAUGUGUCCAGGCGCCCACAGUGAGCCGGGAGAAUGUGGAGCUCCCCAGCCAGGUGUCUUCCCAACACAGAUCACCAGCACCAUGGAUCACUAGGGCUCUGCCCAAUGGGAGUCACUGAGGGUCAUCCAAGACCAAUCCUCCCAUGGGGGAUGAAGCUGGAGCAGCACAUGAAGCUUUUCUGCACUCAGGGCACUCACAGGGCUUCUGACUCCACUGGUGUUGGAUCAAGGCUGAGCUUGCCUGAAGCUCUUGCCACACUCAGGACACUCGUAGGGCCUGUGACAUCACAGGGAGCAGGGCUGUGAUGUUCUCAAGUGCUGGUGACAUCACAAGGAGCAGGGCUGUGAUUUGUUUGGUGCCUAUGAAAUCCCAAGGGCAGUGUCACAGAGGGGGCACCUCUCCAUGUCCCCAGCAGGUCAUGCUGUCCAGUGCAGCCCGUGCCAGCAGUCACUGUGCACACGGGAGAGGCUGGGCUGGACAGGGGUCAGGGCAGAAACUCUGCCCCCGGGACUGGGCUCUCCCCCUGCCUCUGGAGCCCAGGCCCUGGUGGGAGCACCUUGGGCAGGGCACGGGGUUGCUGCUGGGCCAGGGGGACAGGCCUUGCCCCCUGCCAGCUGCCUGGGCCCCUCUGAUGCCUGUCCCACAUCCCUGUGCCUCCUGUGCCUGCUGCUCCCCACCACCUUCACUCCCUCCAUCAAAGCCCCACUCAACCUCUUCACUGUGACCUCUGGAAAGAAAGAAAGAAUGAACAAAAAGAAGUAUAGUUGGUUGACCCUGGCUGGAUGCUGGGCACCCACCAAAGCUGCUCUCUCACUCCCCUCCAGAGAUGGACAGAAGAGAGAAAAUAAAAUAGAAGGCUUCCUGGGUUGAGAUAAGGACUGGGAGAGAUCACUCAGCAAAUACCAUCAUGGGCAAAACACAUUCAAAAUUAGAGACAUUAAUUGAAUUUACUGCUAUCAAAAUCAGAGCAGGAUAGUGAGAAGUAAAAUAAAGCUUUAAAAACACCUUCUGCCCAUCCCUCCCUCCUUGCCAGCUCAACCUCCUCCCCCAGUGGGUGCAGGGAGACAGGGAAUGGGAGUUCUGGUUUGUUCAUCACAUUUUGUUUCUCUUGCUGCUCAGGGAGAGGAGUCGUUCCCCUGCUGUGCCAGGGGUCCCUCUCAGAGACGCUUCUCCAUGAACUUCUCCAGCAUAAGUUCAUCUCAGGGACAGUUCUUCACAAACUGCUGCAACGUGGGUCACUCCUCCAUGGGCUCACAAGUCCUACCAGGACCCUGCUGCAGCAUGGGUUCCUCUCCAUGGGUUUGCAGGUCCCUGCCAGUUCCCUCCUCCAGCACAGGUUUCUCAUGGGGUCACAGCCUGCACUCAGGCAGGCAUCCCCCUGCUCUGGCACGGGCUCCUGCAGGCGCUGCAGGUGCAUCUCUGCACUCCAUGCCCUCCAUGGGCUGCAGGGGCCCAGCUGCCUCAGCACGGACUGCACCACACAAUCUCAGGAAAAUCACCUCCAGCACCUGGAGCAUCUUCUGCCCCUCCUCCUGCCCUGCCCUGGGUAUGUGCAGAGUUGUUCCUCUCACUUGUUCUCACACUGCUCUUCCCUGGUCACAGUUACAACUACAUGAUAACCAAUUUUCUUAAAUCUGUUAUCCCAAAGGCAUUAGCACCAUUUCUAACUGGCCCAGCCUUGGCCAGCAGCCAGUCUAUCCUGGAGCUGGCUGGCAUUGCUGUUGGUUGGUGGGACAUGGACGAGCAGCGGCUUCCAGCAGCCUCUCACAGAAGGCGCUCCUAGAGCCCCUCCCUUACCAUGCAAACUUAGUAUAAGUAUGGUUUUUAUUACAAUUAUUAAUUUUAUUAUUGCUAUUGUUGCUAUUAAUGUUACAGUUAUUAUUAUUACUAUUUUUGGGUUUUUUUGACUCUAUAUUAAUAGUGGCUAUAGUAGAACUUGAACUAAGUUCUUAAUUGCAAAUAGAAGUUAUAAUUUUGGCAGCUGUUUGCCCUGCCCUGCCCUGUGUCACCACUCUGUGUGAAGCUGCCAGGGCUCCCUAUUUCCCUGGUUUGGGAAAUUCAAUGGCAUUGCUCACAUCAGAAAGAGAGGGCUCAUUCCAGUCAAAUGUAUUGCCUGAGCUCUUCUAGUCCCAGUGUUUGAAGCUUGUUUUCUAAUGUUACUGACUUUCUCAGCUUCUGUUAAUAUUUGUGAUUUUGUAACAAAAUGUUCUCAGAUGUGAUUUUGCAAGAUUGUGAAAUCCGCUUUCUGUUUUACUGUUGGAUUUCAUAAUGGUGUGUCAGGACUGAAUACAGCAUUUUGGGUGGGAACCCUUCAGUCUGAGACAGAUUUGUCUCAGCAGCAGCUGGUUUUGCACAUCUAAGCAGAGAUAACAAAGAUUCCAUGGACUGAAUAUUCUGUCUUGUUGCGGAACCCCCAGUGCUGGGCUCGAGGGAGGUGGGGGUUGUGCCGGGGGUCGGGAAUGGCCCGAGCUUCCGGCAAGGGGCCGGCAAUGGACAUUGCCCCUUUGCUGAGCAGGGGCUUGGGGCCUGGCGGCCGGUGCCCGGUCAGCCCGGGACUCUGCGGGAGCCGGGAACAGCGAGAGAGCCAAACAUCAGCACCCCGCCCUUGUUCAGUACCAAGCUGGGCUUGGGGCUGCAGGAGAAAGAGGCGAUGGGAAAUAGAUCCUGAAGGUGAGACAGGGCUUGGGGUCAGGGCAAGGUCCUACCCUGCACACCUGGCUCAGCUGUGACUCUGCCCCGGGAAAGGAGGGGCACAUUCCCAUCCCCACGGAUCCUAUCACGAAAAUCCCACUCUUGGGAUCCCUCAUCCGUCUUUGCAGUCCCUCCAACAUCUCCAGGCCUCUGGGAAGAGCCCAAAGGGAUGGAAUUUCUUACCCAAGGGGACCACCAAGCCUCAGUUUGGAUCUGCAGUCCCAAAUUUUCUCAGUUUCCCUCCCCUUUUCCGCGGGCCGGGUUCCCCCCGCCCCCAGCGGCUAGGAGUAGCCGAGAGCCCCCGCGGUGCCCAUCCGGACGUGUCCCGGUUCCAUCCUCGCUCCUCCCGCGGGCUGCCAGGGCUUCAGGGAGCGGAGGAGGAAGAGUGGGGAUGGUAGAGCAGUGAUGAAGUUGCAUCGGGAGAAGGGCUGAGGGGAUUAAGAGAAGGAGGAGGGGUGGAGGAUGAACAGGAAAAGGAGCAGGUGGGAGUGGGAGGAAGACACUCCCGGAACAGAGGAGGAGGAGGAGCAGGAACUGGAAGCGGAGAGGCCACUGUCCAACCCUCAUUGUGUCCACAGCCCUCCUGCCCCGUGGGGCAUUGUUCCACCUCCAUCUCGCAGGAUUUCCUUUUCUCAAACCUUGGCCAGAGCAAGGAGGAGGAGGCUUCAAGGAAGAGGAAGAUGCCCUGGGACACCCAGGCAGCAGUCUGUUGCAUUUGUGACAUGGAUCAUCUGAAUUCCCAAGAGGGAAAAGACUAAUGAGGAGUAAUAGGAGUCCAGUUUACCCCCAUCUUCAAAACCUUAUGGGACUGCUGCCCACAGCAUUGACUGGCACUUUAAGAGUAGAGCGAGCAGAGAAGAGAGGGAGAGGGUGUGAUAGCGCCCUCUGCCCUCAGGGGAGACCUGCUCUUGGAACCUCGGCCCCUGGAGAAAAAGGGGGAGAGCUCGGCAUGCAAGGAUCUUUAAAAGAGCCCUGUAUGCAGCUUCAGCCUAUAGACAGCGGUGAGAGCGCUAGAUAUAAGAAAAAGAGAGUGUCACCCUGGCAGACUUCUCCAGGCGGUGCCACGGGUGACAUAGAAACCCAUAAAGAGUGAACCUGUGUUUUCUGAAGAGCAGUCUGUGGUGCGAGAGAGACUCCUCUCUCCCUUGAUGAAUUGAAGAUUAGUUUUUUAAAGUAGUGAUUGUUUGAUUUAAAACCCAAAGGUUUGGUCUAUAGAGAGUAAUGUGUGGGGGGUAGAAACUGGGAGAAGAAAAGAAAUGUUCUGAGAAGUUUUUAUUUCUGUCUCUGUGUGUGUUUAAGAGUUUUCUGUCUCUGUUCUUAUGUAAUGUAAUAAAGUUUUAAGUUUUUUUUGUUUUCAAGAUUUAAGCCUGCUCUGCUCUGUUCCUGAUCACAUCCCACAGUAGUUGUUAGAGAAAAAACAUAUAUUCAUGGGUGCAUUAACAUCUGGCCAGUGCUAACCCAUGACACAGGCCCAGGAUGGUGUUCUGGGCAGCAGCGUGAGGCACGGGGUAGGUUUCCAACCAUCCAGUGGUGGCUUCCACCAUGGUCAGCACGUAGCGCUUGCCUUGGCAGGUUUGGGAAAGGGUGAUGUAGUCAGUUUGCCAGGCUUCCCCAUACCUGUGUUUGGACUACCGCCCGCCAUACCAUAGGGGCUUCACUCGCUUGGCUGUUUGAUUGCAAUGCAAGUCUCACAGUUGUGGAUGACCUGUGAAAUGUUGUCUCUUUUGUUUACUUCUCUCAGAUCUUGGACAAACUUGUAUGUCCUAUUUUAUUUUUUUUACUGGUAACAUGGGAGUAUUAUGGGGAGACCUGCACAGUUCUAAAGUUCCAUCUUUAA